rnacentral:rRNA from 1 species
ACAGCAGUAGCCGCGGGAAUACGAAGGGGGCUAGCGUUGUUCGGAUUUACUGGGCGUAAAGGGUGCGUAGGCGGAUUGUUAAGUCGGGGGUGAAAUCCCGAGGCUCAACCUCGGAACUGCCUUUGAUACUGGCGAUCUUGAGUCCGGGAGAGGUGAGUGGAACUGCGAGUGUAGAGGUGAAAUUCGUAGAUAUUCGCAAGAACACCGGUGGCGAAGGCGGCUCACUGGCCCGGAACUGACGCUGAGGCACGAAAGCGUGGGGAGCAAACAGGAUUAGAUACCCGCGUAGUCCCUGUCUCUUAUAC